ACGUAUCCAACGUUAAACCCCCCGUGAACCUUCAUUGGACUCGGACAUCGCGUUAAUUACUCGAAAUCCCUGGUAAAUCAUCGCCGAACAGUUUUGAUUCAGGGACCGCGGGGAGAGGUGUCCAAGCAGUCUGAGGCAAUUGGCCUGGCAUUCCUCUGCUUGUUAGUGUCUGAAAGUGUCACUAGCUCUGUACGAAUGGCGCAGUAACGUUCGCUGGAGGCCGACACGGCCGGCGACCAGGUCACUGGGCUCUGCCCCCCUGAUCACCUUUGCAUGAAACCGGGCCUGCGCUUAAUUGUGCGGCCACCCAAUACUUGAACAACUGUUAACAAUGGAUAUCUUGGUUCU
rnacentral:misc_RNA from 1 species